rnacentral:rRNA from 1 species
UGGGAGUCUUACACCCCCGGGCAAGGGGGUGUGGCGGACGGCUGAGUAACACGUGGCUAACCUACCCUCGGGAGGGGGAUAACCCCGGGAAACUGGGGAUAAUCCCCCAUAGGGGAGGAGUCCUGGAACGGUUCCUCCCUUAAAGGGGUAUGGGCUAUUUCCCGCUCAUACCCGCCCGAGGAUGGGGCUGCGGCCCAUCAGGCUGUUGGCGGGGUAACGGCCCGCCAAACCUAUAACGGGUAGGGGCCGUGGGAGCGGGAGCCCCCAGUUGGGCACUGAGACAAGGGCCCAGGCCCUACGGGGCGCACCAGGCGGGAAACGUCCCCAAUGCGCGAAAGCGUGAGGGCGCUACCCCGAGUGCCCCCGUAAGGGGGCUUUUCCCCGCUCUAAAAAGGCGGGGGAAUAAGCGGGGGGCAAGUCUGGUGUCAGCCGCCGCGGUAACACCAGCUCCGCGAGUGGUCGGGACGCUUACUGGGCCUAAAGCGCCUGUAGCCGGCCCACUAAGUCGCCCCUUAAAGACCCGGGCUCAACCCGGGAAAUGGGGGCGAUACUGGUGGGCUAGGGGGCGGGAGAGGCUAGGGGUACUCCCAGAGGAGGGGCGAAAUCCGUAGAUCCUGGGAGGACCACCAGUGGCGGAGGCGCCUAGCUAGAACGCGCCCGACGGUGAGAGGCGAAAGCCGGGGCAGCAAAUGGGAUUAGAUACCCCAGUAGUCCCGGCUGUAAACGAUGCGGGCUAGGUGUCAGGUGGGCUUAGAGCUCACCUGGUGCCGCAGGGAAGCCGUUAAGCCCGCGCCUGGGGAGUACGGUCGCA